GGGCAAGGUAUGGUGGAAGGAGCGUAGACCUCCCAUGUCCUCACCAGGUCCACCACUAGCAACCUCCACGUUUAGCUUUUGGAAGCUUCCCAACCCAGUCCAUUUAGUUUUUUAUGGAGGCCUCAUUACACAGGUAUAACCAACUAAAUCGUUGGCCACUGGUGAUCAGCUCCACUUUCAGCCCUGGUCUGUGCCCAGAUCAUGCCUUGGUCUUUCUGGUGGCCCAUCCCAUACUGUCCUGAGGCUUUCUAACCCUCAGCCACCAGUCAUCUCAUUUGAAGACACUUGGGACUCUGGCGAUUCCAAGGUGCUCUGUGUCUGGAACCAGAGAAUAAUCAUUUUCCAUGAAUUCCUAUAUGGAUUUUUAAAAGAACACAACAGUACUGAACUAUCUGAAGUACUCAUUCCUGAAAAUCAUGAACAUGGACACAAAUUCUACCUCUAUCAACUUUUAUUUAAAUCAGUGGAUAUUUAUGUAAUGUGUUUUGGUUUAAAAGAAUUGUAUCUAGUUAUUGAUGAUACCUGCACGUUGGAGUUGCCUGAAGAAUUUAAUGAAGUCUUAUGUGCAACCCCCAGACACCGGAC
rnacentral:lncRNA from 1 species